GAUGAAGAACGUAGCGAAAUGCGAUACGUAAUGUGAAUUGCAGAAUUCAGUGAAUCAUCGAGUCUUUGAACGCACAUUGCGCCCCCUGGUAUUCCGGGGGGCAUGCCUGUCCGAGCGUCAUUGCUGCCCUCAAGCACGGCUUGUGUGUUGGGCCUCCGUCCUCCUCCCGGGGGACGGGCCCGAAAGGCAGCGGCGGCACCGCGUCCGGUCCUCGAGCGAAUGGGGCUUCGUCACCCGCUCUUGUAGGCCCGGCCGGCGCUUGCCGACACAUCAAUCUUUUUUCCAGGUUGACCUCGGAUCAGGUAGGGAUACCCGCUGAACUUAAGCAUAUCAAUAAGCGGAGGA
rnacentral:misc_RNA from 1 species